CGGAAGAACAUGAGAAGAACACAUUAAUAGCAGUUUGUCUUAAACGUAUUGCUUCUCUAUUGAAUUUACAGAACUUUGGUGCUUUAUCAUACACAUAAAAGAGAAAGAUAAACAAUGGGAGGAUCACAGUCAACAGAAUCAACAUUGGAAUUUGGCAAACCAUGGAGGAAGACUUUCUGGGGACAGCAAGAACAUUUGGAGAAAACAAUAAAAGAGUUCAAGUUGAGCAUUCAAAAUAUUAAGCAUGUGAGGAUCAUGGUAAUUGGAGAAGUUGGAGCAGGAAAGUCCAGCUUCAUCAACUCAGUCAAUAGUGUUUUCCAAAGAAGAAUUAUUCAAAUGAAGCACUUGUUAACACAACAGUUGAUCUUAGCACAACCGUGACAAAACAAUACAAAACCUAUUACAUAAGAAAUGUACAAUCUUUUCUGCCUUUUGUCUUAACUGACACCAUGGGCUUAGAGUCUGGGAAUUUGCAUGGCGUACAUCCAGAGGACAUUGUCAAAGCCAUGGAAGGCCACAUACAGGACAGAUACAAAUUCAAUCCAAAAUGUCCUGUUUCGCCUCAAGAUAAUAGCUACAGAAGUAAUCCAAGCUUUCAGGAUCAGACAUACUGUCUGGUCUUCAUCAUGGCAGCUGACAAGAUAUCAAUGAUGAAUGAGAAUGUCAUCAACAAGAUGAAAUCUAUUAGGAUUAAGGCCAAUGAACUAGGUGAGCUCAAAA